rnacentral:rRNA from 1 species
UGCGUAGGUGGUUAGGUUAAGACCUGUGGGAAAGACCUGGGCUUAACCCAGGAAGGUCGCAGGUGACUGCCUGGCUAGAGGGCGGGAGAGGAGCGCGGAAUUCCCGGUGUAGCGGUGAAAUGCGUAGAGAUCGGGAGGAAGGCCGGUGGCGAAGGCGGCGCUCUGGAACGUUCCUGACACUGAGGCACGAAAGCGUGGGGAGCAAACAGGAUUAGAUACCCUGGUAGUCCACGCCCUAAACGAUGGGUACUAAGUGUCGGCGGGUUACCGCCGGUGCCGCACCUAACGGAGUAAGUACCCCGCCUGAGGAGUACGGCCGCAAGGUUGAA